GAGUUUGAUCUGGCUCAGAUUGAACGCUGGCGGCAGGCCUAACACAUGCAAGUCGAGCGGUAACGGGGGAAGCUUGCUUCCCGCCGACGAGCGGCGGACGGGUGAGUAACGCAUGGGAAUCUGCCCGAUAGUGGGGGAUAACCUGGGGAAACUCAGGCUAAUACCGCGUACGUCCUACGGGAGAAAGCGGGGGCCCUCUUCGGAGGCCUUGCGCUAUCGGAUGAGCCCAUGUCGGAUUAGCUGGUUGGUGAGGUAACGGCUCACCAAGGCGACGAUCCGUAGCUGGUCUGAGAGGAUGAUCAGCCACAUCGGGACUGAGACACGGCCCGAACUCCUACGGGAGGCAGCAGUGGGGAAUAUUGGACAAUGGGGGCAACCCUGAUCCAGCCAUGCCGCGUGUGUGAAGAAGGCCUUCGGGUUGUAAAGCACUUUCAGUGAGGAAGAACGCCUUCGGGUCAAUACCCCGAAGGGAUGACAUCACUCACACAAGAAGCACCGGCUAACUCCGUGCCAGCAGCCGCGGUAAUACGGAGGGUGCGAGCGUUAAUCGGAAUUACUGGGCGUAAAGCGCGCGUAGGCGGCGUGAUCAGCCGGUUGUGAAAGCCCCGGGCUCAACCUGGGAAUGGCAUCCGGAACUGUCACGCUAGAGUGCAGGAGAGGAAAGGUAGAAUUCCCGGUGUAGCGGUGAAAUGCGUAGAUAUCGGGAGGAAUACCAGUGGCGAAGGCGGCCUUCUGGACUGACACUGACGCUGAGGUGCGAAAGCAUGGGUAGCAAACAGGAUUAGAUACCCUGGUAGUCCAUGCCGUAAACGAUGUCGACUAGCCCGUUUGGGGUCUUCGAGACCUUUGUGGCGCAGUUAACCGCCACUAAGUCGACCGCCCUGGGGGAGUACGGCCGCCAAGGUUAAAACUCAAUGAUGACGGGGGCCCGCCACAAGCCGGAUGGGAGCAUGGUGGCUUAAUUUCGAUUGCCAACGCCGAAGAAUCU
rnacentral:rRNA from 1 species